AUUCCCCCAGAUAACGGCGAGCGAAGCGGGAACAGCUCGAGCAUGAAAUCUCGGCAGCUAUGCCGGCGAAUUGUGGCCGAGAGUGGCAGCUUGGUUCUGGUUCCGAUGCCGAAGUUUGCCUGGAAAGGCACGUCAGAGAGGGCGAGAACCCCGUGCGUGGCUGAGGAACCCAGGACCGCCAACUGCACACGGAGAGUCGGGUUGUUUGGGAAUGCAGCCCAAAGUUGGUGGUAAACUCCAUCUAAAGCUAAAUACCGGCACGAGACCGAUAGCAAACAAGUACCGUGAGGGAAAGGUGAAAAGUACUUUGAAAAGAGAGUCAAAGAGAACGCGAAACCGUUAGGAGGGAAACGAGGUCAGAGGAGGGCCUCUCUCCUCCUUCUCGCUUGGUGAUUUUCGUUUUUCCCCCCUGACUCCGGUAUUGCACGCGGCACGGUUUUGAGUGUUGCUGACACGGUUCCAUCUCGUGGCCCUCCGACCCGUCUUGAAACACGGACCAAGGAGUCUAACACGGUGCGAGUCAUUGAGUUUUAAACGGCGCAGUGAAAGCAAAGGGCACCUAUGCCCAGGGUGAUCAGGCCAACGCGCUCGACCCGGGCAUAAGCGGUUGGGACCCGAAAGAUGGUGAACUAUGCCUGGAGGUGAAGUCAGGGGAAACCCUGAUGGAGCUCGAACCGAUUCUGACGUGCAAAUCGAUCGUCGGAGCUGGGUAUAGGGGCGAAA
rnacentral:rRNA from 1 species